rnacentral:tRNA from 1 species
CAAUAAUUAGUUUAAUAAAAAUAUAAUAUUUGGGUUAUUAAGAUUAGAUUUAUUGA